rnacentral:ncRNA from 1 species
AAGUUUGGUCUUAAACCUCCUAUUACCUCACCCCCUAAUUAUACAUGCAAGCCUCCCCACAACAGUGAAAAAACCCACACAAAUUCAACCACGGAGUUGGUAUCAGGCAUACGCCCAUCACACCAAGCAACACAGCCACACCCCCACGGGCCAGCAGCAGUAUCCAAUAUUAGGCCAUAAGCAUACCUUAUUUUAAAGCUUGACCUAGUAAGGGGGCCCCAGGGCCGGUUAAUCUCGUGCCAGCGACCGCGGUUACACGACAGACCCAAGAUAAUAGCACCGGCGUAAAGAACGACUAGAUUGUAGUACCACAUGUUAGGAAAAAGCCAGACUAGGCCGUAAAAAGCCAUAAGCUUCAUUAACUCACUCACCUAAUAUAUUAAACCACUUCGACUCGUGAAAAUAGGAAUACAAACUAAGAUUAGAUACCUUACUAUGCCUGACUUAACACACAUGAAAUCACCAACUGUUCGCCAAACAACUACGAGUUAAAACUUAAAACUUAAAAGACUUGACGGUACUUCACACCACCCUAGAGGAGCCUGUCUAAUAACCGAUACUCCACGAUUAACCCAACCCACCCUAGCCCAACAGUCUAUAUACCGCCAUCGCCAGCUUACCUUGUGAGAGAAACAAAGUGAACACAACAGCCACCACUAACACGAUAGGUCGAGGUGUAACUAAUGGGUGGGAAAAAGAUGGGCUACAUUUUCUAACACAGAAAACACGAAUAGAUCUACGAAAAUAGAAACCGAAGGCGGAUUUAGCAGUAUGUUAAGGACAAAAUGCUUAACCGAAAUAAAUGCAAUGAAGUGCGUACACACCGCCCGUCAUCCCUGUAUAAACCCACUAAAACUACAUAAACACAACAAACCCACCAAACAGGGCAAGUCGUAACAUGGUAAGCGUACUGGAAAGUGCGCUUA